rnacentral:lncRNA from 1 species
UACCUACAAAAGCCCCCUGACAUAGCACUCUUGUCAUACUGAGACUAAGGUAGAAAAAGACACUUCCAAAGGGUGUCAAUGACAAGAGAGAAAUAGACAUAGAGUGGUCACUUCAUUUACCAACCCUGGAACCGCAGACCUCUGGGCUUCCUGAUAAAGAAAAUGGGUACGGCCAAGACCAUAGACCUAGUGAUUGUCAGAUGAACAAUUAGACCCACAGAACCAUCCAAGCUACAGAGGACGCAUUCUGCCUUCCCUUGGAUCCUGUGGUUUGAGGAUGGAGGUCUAGGACCGUGGCAGGCUUUUUGUCCCAUGAGGGAAGGCCAUGGAGCUGAGGAAGGGGAAGAACACACACACCUAAUGGAAUCUCGAGAGAAAGUUCAGACAUCAAAAGACAGAAGCGACAGAGACCCAGAUGGAGUCUCACCCAGCCUGGAGUACAGUAGUAUGAUCUGCAACCUUUGCCUCCCAGGUUCAGGCGAUUCUCCUGUCUCAGCCUCCGGAGUAUCUGGGAUUACAGGCACGUGCCACCACGCCCGGCUAAUUUUUUGUAUUUUUAGUAGAGAUGGGUUUCACCGUGUUAGCCAGGAUGGUCUCGAACUCCUGACCUCGUGAUCUACCCGCCUUGGCCUCCCAAAGUGCUGGGAUUACAGGCAUGAGCUACCGUGCUCGGCCAUGCCUGGCUAAUUUAUAUAUACAUAUAUAUAUAUAUAUAUAUUUUUUUUUUUUUUUUUUUUUUUUUGAGACAGAGUCUUGCUCUGUCACCCAGGUUGGAGUGCAGUGGCAUGAUCUCGGCUCACUGCAAGCUCGCCUCCCAGGUUCACGCCAUUCUCCUGCCUCAGCCUCCUGAGUAGCUGGGACUACAGGCGCCCGCAUGACGCCCGGCUAAUUUUUUGUAUUUUUAGUAGAGACGGGGUUUCACUGUGUUAGCCAGGAUGGUCUCGAUCUCCUGACCUCGUGAUCUGCCCACCUCAGCCUCCGAAAGUGCUGGGAUUACAGACAUGAGCCACCGCACCCAGCCUUAUAUAUAUAUUUUUUAUUAGUGAAGAGGUUUCGCCAUAUUGGCCAGACUGGUCUCGAACUCCUGACCUCAGGUGAUCCACCCACCUCGGCCUCCCAAAGUGCUGGGAUUACAGGUGGGAGCCACCGCACCCUGCCUAAAAUGCAAAAGAUUUUGAAUGGCGAGAAUGGCGACAUGAUGCCACAAGUGGAAAAUUCCACACCUGGCUGCAUGUAAUGGGUUGAAGUCAAAAUGCAGUCAAAAACUUUGUUUCAUGUACAAAAUUAUUAAAAACAUUGUAUAAAAUCACCUUCAGACUAUGUGUAUGUGAAACCUAAGUGAAUUUAAUGGCUAGACUUCAG